UCCAGACUCCUACGGGAGGCAGCAGUGGGGAAUAUUGCACAAUGGGGGAAACCCUGAUGCAGCGACGCCGCGUGAGUGAAGAAGUAUUUCGGUAUGUAAAGCUCUAUCAGCAGGGAAGAAAAUGACGGUACCUGACUAAGAAGCCCCGGCUAACUACGUGCCAGCAGCCGCGGUAAUACGUAGGGGGCAAGCGUUAUCCGGAUUUACUGGGUGUAAAGGGAGCGUAGACGGCAUGGCAAGUCAGAUGUGAAAGCCCGGGGCUCAACCCCGGGACUGCAUUUGAAACUGUCAGGCUGGAGUGCAGGAGAGGUAAGUGGAAUUCCUAGUGUAGCGGUGAAAUGCGUAGAUAUUAGGAGGAACACCAGUGGCGAAGGCGGCCUGCUGGACAGUAACUGACGUUGAGGCUCGAAAGCGUGGGGAGCAAACAGGAUUAGAUACCCCCGUACA
rnacentral:rRNA from 1 species